ACAUGGAUAGCUUAGUUGGUAGUGCAUCAGACUUCCAAUCUGAGGACCCACGGUUCAUGUC
rnacentral:tRNA from 1 species